UACAGAGGGUGCGAGCGUUGUCCGGAAUCACUGGGCGUAAAGGGCGCGUAGGUGGUGGCUUAAGCGUGCGGUGAAUGCUCGGGGCUCAACUCCGAGUCGGCCGUGCGAACUGGGCUCACUGGAGCAUAGUAGAGGCAGGUGGAAUUCCGGGUGUAGCGGUGGAAUGCGUAGAGAUCCGGAAGAACACCGGUGGCGAAGGCGGCCUGCUGGGCUAUGGCUGACACUGAGGCGCGACAGCGUGGGGAGCAAACAGG
rnacentral:rRNA from 1 species